CGGGGAAUUUUUGUCAAUGGGGGAAACCUUGAACAAGCAACGCCGCGUGGAGGAUGAAGACCCUCGGGUCGUAAACUCCUGUCGGAGGGGACGAAACCGGUCGUAGUUAAUACCUGCGAUCAUUGACGGUACCCUACGAGGAAGCCCCGGCUAACUCCGUGCCAGCAGCCGCGGUAAUACGGGGGGGGCAAGCGUUGUUCGGAAUUACUGGGCGUAAAGCGUGCGCAGGCGGUGAUGUAAGACAGAUGUGAGAUCCCCGGGCUCAACCUGGGACCUGCAUUUGUGACUGCAUCGCUAGAGUACGGUAGAGGGGGAUGGAAUUCCGCGUGUAGCAGUGAAAUGCGUAGAUAUGCGGAGGAACACCGAUGGCGAAGGCAAUCCCCUGGACCUGUACUGACGCUCAUGCACGAAAGCGUGGGGAGCAAACAGGAUUAGAUACCCUGGUAGUCCACGCCCUAAACGAUGUCAACUGGUUGUUGGGUCUUUACUGACUCAGUAACGAAGCUAACGCGUGAAGUUGACCGCCUGGGGAGUACGGCCGCAAGGUUG
rnacentral:rRNA from 1 species